UACGUAGGGGGCAAGCGUUGUCCGGAAUCAUUGGGCGUAAAGAGCGCGUAGGCGGCCCAGUAAGUCCGCUCUGAAAGUCAGGGGCUCAACCCCUGAAUGCGGGUGGAUACUGCUGGGCUAGAGUCCGGAAGAGGCGAGUGGAAUUGCUGGUGUAGCGGUGAAAUGCGUAGAGAUCAGCAGGAACACCCGUGGCGAAGGCGGCCCCCUGGGCCGUACCUGACGCUGAGGCGCGAAGGCUAGGGGAGCGAACGGG
rnacentral:rRNA from 1 species